rnacentral:tRNA from 1 species
GGGGAUAUAGCUCAGUGGUAGAGCGCACGCUUUGCAUGCGUGAGGCCCCGGGUUCGAUCCCCGGUAUCUCCA